AUUGAACGCUGGCGGAAUGCUUUACACAUGCAAGUCGAACGGGCUUGAGGGGCUUGCUCCUCAAGUUAGUGGCGAACGGGUGAGUAAUGCAUCGGAACGUACCUAGUCGUGGGGGAUAACGUAGCGAAAGUUACGCUAAUACCGCAUACGUCCUACGGGAGAAAGCAGGGGAUCGCAAGACCUUGCGCGAUUGGAGCGGCCGAUGUCUGAUUAGCUAGUUGGUGGGGUAAAGGCUCACCAAGGCGACGAUCAGUAGCGGGUCUGAGAGGAUGAUCCGCCACACUGGGACUGAGACACGGCCCAGACUCCUACGGGAGGCAGCAGUGGGGAAUUUUGGACAAUGGGGGCAACCCUGAUCCAGCCAUUCCGCGUGAGUGAAGAAGGCCUUCGGGUUGUAAAGCUCUUUCGGCAGGAACGAAACGGCGGGCGCUAACAUAGCCUGUUAAUGACGGUACCUGAAGAAGAAGCACCGGCUAACUACGUGCCAGCAGCCGCCGUAA
rnacentral:rRNA from 1 species